rnacentral:miRNA from 1 species
CUCCGCUGGAAACCUCUGGUU